rnacentral:rRNA from 1 species
AGUGGCGAACGGGUGAGUAACACGUGAGUAACCUGCCCUUGACUCUGGGAUAAGCCUGGGAAACUGGGUCUAAUACCGGAUAUGACUCCUCAUCGCAUGGUGGGGGGUGGAAAGCUUUUGUGGUUUUGGAUGGACUCGCGGCCUAUCAGCUUGUUGGUGGGGUAAUGGCCUACCAAGGCGACGACGGGUAGCCGGCCUGAGAGGGUGACCGGCCACACUGGGACUGAGACACGGCCCAGACUCCUACGGGAGGCAGCAGUGGGGAAUAUUGCACAAUGGGCGCAAGCCUGAUGCAGCGACGCCGCGUGAGGGAUGACGGCCUUCGGGUUGUAAACCUCUUUCAGUAGGGAAGAAGCGUAAGUGACGGUACCUGCAGAAGAAGCGCCGGCUAACUACGUGCCAGCAGCCGCGGUAAUACGUAGGGCGCAAGCGUUAUCCGGAAUUAUUGGGCGUAAAGAGCUCGUAGGCGGUUUGUCGCGUCUGCUGUGAAAGACCGGGGCUCAACUCCGGUUCUGCAGUGGGUACGGGCAGACUAGAGUGCAGUAGGGGAGACUGGAAUUCCUGGUGUAGCGGUGAAAUGCGCAGAUAUCAGGAGGAACACCGAUGGCGAAGGCAGGUCUCUGGGCUGUAACUGACGCUGAGGAGCGAAAGCAUGGGGAGCGAACAGGAUUA